rnacentral:rRNA from 1 species
GACGAACGCUGGCGGCAUGCCUAAUACAUGCGAGUCGAGCGAACAGAUGAAGUGCUUGCACUUCUGACGUUAGCGGCGAACGGGUGAGUAACACGUAAGGAAUCUACCUAUAAGCGGGGGAUAACAUUCGGAAACGGGUGCUAAUACCGCAUAAUAUCUUCUUCCGCAUGGAAGGAGAUUGAAAGACGGCUCUGCUGUCACUUAUAGAUGACCUUGCGGUGCAUUAGUUAGUUGGAGGGGUAACGGCCUACCAAGACGAUGAUGCAUAGCCGGCCUGAGAGGGUGAUCGGCCACAUUGGGACUGAGACACGGCCCAAACUCCUACGGGAGGCAGCAGUAGGGAAUCUUCCGCAAUGGGCGAAAGCCUGACGGAGCAAUGCCGCGUGAGUGAAGAAGGCCUUCGGGUCGUAAAACUCUGUUAUAAGAGAAGAACAAAUUGUAGAGUAACUGCUACAGUCUUGACGGUAUCUUAUCAGAAAGCCACGGCUAACUACGUGCCAGCCGCCGCCGUAA